rnacentral:rRNA from 1 species
UCAUGCAAUCAUACCAGCACUAAUGGACCGGAUCCCAUCAGAAGUUCGAAGUUAAGCGUGCUUGGGCGAGAGUAGUACUAGGAUGGGUGACUAGCUGGGAAGUCUUUGUGUUUCAUCCU